rnacentral:tRNA from 1 species
AGUAAAGUAGGCUAAUUAAGCUCUUGGGCCCAUACCCCAAUAAUGUAGGUUAGAACCCUUCCAUUACUU